GCUGGGAAUUCUGGUUCACACCUGUAAUUCAUGCUAUUGGGGCAGCUGAGGCUGCUGGAUCUCUUGAGAUUGGGAGUUCUAUGCUGUGGUGAGUGAGGCUACCAGACAUCCACACUAAGUCUGGAGUCUCUGUGGUGAGUCCCUGGGAACAGGAGCUCACCAGAUUUCCUAAGGAGGGGGCAAAGCAGCCCAGGUCCAAAAUGGACAAAAUCAAAGCAGUAUAGAGAUUGCCCUUGGGAGUUGCCACGGCAUUCCAGCCUAGGUAGUAAGGGGAGAUCCAGCCUUC
rnacentral:SRP_RNA from 1 species